CUCCUCCGCCAGCACUCGCAACUUCUGCUUUGGCCGGGGCCCGGGGCCACGUGACUCCUCCCGGGCCACCCCCCGCGCCGGCCCGGCCCGCCUCUCCCGGCACCGCUACGGGGGCGGCCCAGGCCCGGCACCCAAGCUGAGGCUGCCGAAGGGGAAGCCAGCGGCCAGGUGGGAAGAGUAGAGCUUCCCGGACAUCGCGGCUCUAGGUGAGCGCGCCUACUGGGUGCAGGUGUCGUGCGCGUGUGUGAUUGACCCCAACUGGAAGUCGCUGAGGCCGCGUUGGGGUCAGAACGAAGCUCACCACCUUAGGGGGCCACUCUGCCCUCAGCCUCCGUGUUCGCAGAUGCAGAAACAUCGCCAAAACGGAAUGAACCCGGACGGUGGCUCCCCAGUUUUUCCAAUGAGAAGAACGUGUGUGCAGGGCCCAGUCGCCCCCCAUCCGCUGAUCUCCUGCUUUUUAAAGACGUCUUGGGAAGACCCGUUCUGCCAUCGACGGCAUGAAGCCAUGGAGUGACUUUGCCAGGAGUAAGGCUAAGUGUGGGUGGGAUUUCUUUGCCUUGAUUUUUGUAGCUGUUUUUCAGAGCCUCCGUGUGGAUUCAUUUUAAUCAAUCCCCUCGGGGGCAGCUGCUGUGGUGCCGCCUGCAACACCGGCCUCCCCUCUGGGAGCUGCAGUUCAAGUCCCAGCUUCUCUGUUUCUGAUCCAGCUCCCUGCUAAAGCCCCCGGGAGAGCAGCAGCAGAGGGCCAAGAGCCCCUGCCACCGAUGUGCAAGACCUGCGUGGAGUUCCCCACCCCUAGCUUUGACCUGGCGCAGUUCCAGUUGUGGCAAUUUGAAGAGUGACCUGCAGACUGAAGAUAAUUUUCUCUGUCUCCCUCUAUCACUGUGGUUCAAAUAAAUUAAUAGAUCUAAGAAAUAAAAGUAAAUCAUUUCAAUUUUA